UACGAAGGGGGCUAGCGUUGCUCGGAAUGACUGGGCGUAAAGGGCGCGUAGGCGGAUGGCACAGUCAGAUGUGAAAUUCCCGGGCUUAACCUGGGGGCUGCAUUUGAUACGUGUUGUCUUGAGUUCGGAAGAGGGUCGUGGAAUUCCCAGUGUAGAGGUGAAAUUCGUAGAUAUUCGGAAGAACACCAGUGGCGAAGGCGACUUACUGGACACGUAUUGACGCUGAGGUGCGAAAGCGUGGGGAGCAAACAGG
rnacentral:rRNA from 1 species